AUUGAACGCUGGCGGCAGGCCUAACACAUGCAAGUCGAACGGUAACAGGGAUCCGCUUGCUGAUUCGCUGACGAGUGGCGGACGGGUGAGUAAUGUCUGGGAAACUGCCUGAUGGAGGGGGAUAACUACUGGAAACGGUAGCUAAUACCGCAUAACGUCGCAAGACCAAAGAGGGGGACCUUCGGGCCUCUUGCCAUCGGAUGUGCCCAGAUGGGAUUAGCUAGUAGGUGGGGUAACGGCUCACCUAGGCGACGAUCCCUAGCUGGUCUGAGAGGAUGACCAGCCACACUGGAACUGAGACACGGUCCAGACUCCUACGGGAGGCAGCAGUGGGGAAUAUUGCACAAAGGGCGCAAGCCUGAUGCAGCCAUGCCGCGUGUAUGAAGAAGGCCUUCGGGUUGUAAAGUACUUUCAGCGGGGAGGAAGGGAGUAAAGUUAAUACCUUUGCUCAUUGACGUUACCCGCAGAAGAAGCACCGGCUAACUCCGUG
rnacentral:rRNA from 1 species